UGACUGGCUCAAUGUCCCCAUAGCAAAUAAUGACAAAAAUAUAAAAAACUAAAUAUUAUUAACUUAAUAAAAUCAUCCACUACAUAAGCAUUCAUUAUCUUUACAAUUAACCAUCUAAAACUACCACAGUUCUUCAAUCAAAGUAUAUAUCUACAUAUAUAGAAAGAGUACACUUUAAUAAUUUCAUCUCGUCUUCCGUAAACGUAGCACGAAAAUUUGAUACCCAGUAUUGUAAGGAAGGUCGUAGAAGCAGUCUUCCUGUACAUAUUUAAAAAUAAUAGCAAGUCAAGAAAAUAAAGCAAAUAGGUCACCAUAUGCACUUAGUGCCAAAAUCAAUACACAAAGACAAUAGAUUUGCUACGCGGUACUAAUGUACACCGUAUUGCUCAUAAGCAGAAAAGGACAAAUAGGCAAUCACAAUAUCAUUUGCUAUAAAUCCAAAUAGAAAAAGAACCUUCAGUGCGACUAUAUGAUUGCUUUGUUACAAGAAAAAAUUAGAAUCUUAAUCGGUCAUUUCAUGAACCUUCAGUGCGACUAUAAAUGUUGACAUACAUAUACUUUUGCAACAUAACACCACCUAAAUUUAUAUAGCUUCCACAUGGUAAUCACUUCCGUGUCAUGAGAAAGGANNNNNNNNNNNNNNNNNNNNNNNNNNNNNNNNNNNNNNNNNNNNNNNNNNNNNNNNNNNNNNNNNNNNNNNNNNNNNNNNNNNNNNNNNNNNNNNNNNNNCACCUAUUUUUCUCUUUUUUUUCUUUUUUUUUAAUCAUAAUUAUGAGAAUAAUAAAUAAAAAAUAAUAGAGCAAGUUUGAACAAAAAACAAUAAAAGAAAGUAUAUUUUUUAUUAAAAAAACACUAUAAAAACAAUUAACAACUCCCUCCGUCCCUAAUGUCCCUAAUUAUUUUUGUUAGUUUAGAGUUUUUUAUUUGUCUCUAAUUAUUUGACAUUUAUUCAAAUCUAAGAAAAUUAAUGAUAAUUUUUCUAAAAUUAUCCCUCAUUACUCUAUCUAUUUUUUUGAUACUUUACUCUUUCUCUCUCCUUAUCCCAAUAAAACUCUCUUUAUUUCAACAAAAGAUUUAAGGGUAUUAUUGACAAUUGAGUAUUAUAUUUAAUAUUUUCCAAUCAUUAUCUUAAUUCUUGUGUCCAUUUUUAAAACGUCAAAUAAUUAGGAAUGAAGAGAGUAGUAAAUUAGUAAUUAAGUAAAGUGUUGUUCGGUUAUUCGGUUUAAAGUAAAAAUCGUACAAACUAACCGAAAACCGUAAAAAAAUUCGGAUAUAACCAAAAUAUCAAAAAUAACCGAAAUAUCAAAAAAUUUCGAUUAAAUUAUUUCGGUUCAGAAUUCGGUUAUAUCCGUUUUUUGCUCAGUCCUAUUCUCUGUGGAGAUUUGACGGAACAUGAUCUCCAUUUUGGCUCUUUCGAAAAGCAAUCUUGAUUCCACGGUGACUGUCUCAUCAUCAUCAUCAUCUUCUUCUUCUUCUUCUUCUUCUUCUUCUUCUUCUUCUUCGUAUUCAUCAUCUUCAAAAUUAUUAUUAUUAUUAUUAUUAUUAUUAUUAUUAUUAUUAUUAUUAUUAUUAUUAUUAUUAUUAUUAAUGUUAUUGUUAUUAUUAUUACUAUUAUUAUUAAUGUUAUUAUUAUUAUUAUUAUUAUUAUUGUUGUUGUUGUUGUUGUUAUUAUUAUCACUAUUAUGGGAUAACUCACUUUUUGGUCACUGUUCUAAUGUCCGGUUUUCAUUGUGGUCACCGAAACUUUUUUUAUUACAAUCGAAUAACUGUACUCUCAAAAAUUACAAAAUGGUCAUUUCGUUCGAUUUUCGUCCAAAAAUUUGACGGAAAUGCUGACUGUUCAUAUUGACCCAUUAUUUUUGUUGACAUGGCCCGUUAUUUGCUGACGUGGAGGGCAGCAGGCUUGCCUUAAAGAAAAUUUUGCUAACUAGUGUCAAACUCCAGACCUCCACAAAGUAGAAACCUUAUAUUCCAACAAAAACCAAUAGACCAACUAAAUUUAUGCUAAAAUUUAUGUAACACUAAUAUUUAAACUACCUAGCAUGUUUAUAUGCAUGUGAAGAUGAGAUAAUAAUAAUAAUUGUAAUAAUAAUAAUAAUUGUAAUAAUAAUACUAAAUUUUAAAUAAUAAUUAAAAUUUUAAAUAAUAAUAAUUAUUGUAAUAAUUAAAAUAAUAAUAAUAAUAAUAAUUAGUUCCAUUAUAAUUAGUUCUUUCUCAUUAUAUAAUGAUCCGAAAUUCUCAUUAUAUAAUGAUCCGAAAUAGUAGAUGGUUAUUUGUUUUUUGAAACCAGUUGAUUGUUAUUUAAUAUCAGUUGGAUAAUUUUUAUUACCUUUGUAAACAUGUAAAUUCUGAGUUACUUAUGUCAUUAUUUUACGGUACCAAAAAAAUAAAAAAUAAUUGCACUUUACAAGAUGCUUUUUGAAGGCUUCACAGGACACUGUAAAAAAUUAAAUUCCAAGAUAAAAAAAUGAUUCAGACCGAUCCAAAGGAACAAGGCUUUACAAUUUGAUGACAAAGUUCCAUCCAAAAUUGAAUAUAAAACUGGCACUUCUUGGUUCAGUUUCACUGCUCAUAAUUAUUGUAAUAAUUAAAAUAAUAAUAAUUAGUUCUAAUAUAAUUAGUUCUUUCUCAUUAUAUAAUGAUCCAAAAUUCUCAUUAUAUAAUAAUAUUUAAAAUUUUAAUUAUUAUUACAAUAAUUAUUAUUAUUAAAAAUUUUAAUUAUUUAAAAUUUAUUAUUAUUAUUACAAUAAUAAUUAUUACAAUUAUUAAUAUUAUUAUUACAAUUAUUACAAUUAUUAUUAUCUCAUCUUCACAUGCAUAUAAACAAUGCUAGGUGAUUUAAAUAUUAGUGUUACAUAAAUUUUAGCAUGAUAGGUAGUUGAUUCAGUGGCUUUUGUUGGAAUAUAAGAUUUCUAGUUUGGGGAGGUCUAGAGUUUAACACUUAUUAGCAACAUUUUCUUUAAGAAAAUUUUUAAGGCAAGCCUUCUGCCCUCCACGUCAGCAAAAAU
rnacentral:lncRNA from 1 species